rnacentral:rRNA from 1 species
UACGUAGGGUGCGAGCGUUGUCCGGAAUUAUUGGGCGUAAAGAGCUUGUAGGCGGUCUGUCGCGUCUGCUGUGAAAAUCCGGGGCUCAACCCCGGACUUGCAGUGGGUACGGGCAGACUAGAGUGUGGUAGGGGAGACUGGAAUUUACGGUGUAGCGGUGAAAUGCGUAGAUAUCGUAAGGAAGACCAGUGGCGAAGGCGGGUCUCUGGGACGGUACUGACGCUGAGGCGCGAAAGCGUGGGGAGCAAACAGG